UUUUAGUUCUGGAACAAUUUCCAUUGAUUGCUUUUUUUUUCAUUACAGGCCAUAUUUUUCUGCUUCUUUAAAUGCCUGGCAGUCUUUGACUGGAUGCCACAAUCUUCUAGGAAAUGUACUGACAGUACUCUCCUGACCACUCAAGGAAGACCCUCUGCAGACCUCUGGAGUUCCUUCUGCUAUUCUGUCCCUUCUAGUCCUCUGGCUGCCCCGUCUCUGGCUUUUUAGCCAGAGAGAAUCUCUUAACCCCCCAGGCCUCGCUGGGCAACCCACACACAGACAUAGAUGGGAAGGUCAGUUGUGCAGAUCUCCAACUGCAAACAUCAAGACACCUCCGUACACAUGCUGAGGGUCUGGAAAGAGCACACAUCUCAGGGCCUGCAUGAACAGAGUGACCUUCCUGAAAGACAAUGGCCUCAGUGACCUCACUUCUGAUGCCUGGUUGCUGGAGUUCAGUGGAAGCAACAGCAGACACACUGCCCACAUGAACAUGUGGUUUCCAAGCCAGACAGAACUUGCAGCCUCAGUGCCAACCAGGUCCAGAUGUUACACCUUCCCACAGUCGGAAUGAAAUUGGCCUGACUCGGA